GGGGUUGUGGCUCAGCGGUAGAGCGCUCGCCAAGCACGUGCGAGGCACUGGGUUUGAUCCUCAGCACCACA
rnacentral:tRNA from 1 species